GCCCAGGUGAAGAUGGCAGAACUCCCAAGAAAGGACCAGGAUCACAGAUCACCUGGUGCAAAACAGCUCUGUUGGAGAAUCACAGGACACUUUGUGAGAGCAAACUACUAAUUCAGGGAGGUGUGAAGUUCCUGAAGGUUCAAGCUUUAACAAGGAACCUACCCGAGAACAUUUGAUUUUGCCUCCUUUUGAAGAUUUCAUGGAAAUGUGACAUUGCAUUGCCAUUAAAUAGAUUCAUCUCUCACACUGCUAGUCUUUUUCCAAUAGUGUUUCUACAAAAUUUUUC
rnacentral:lncRNA from 1 species